UAGUAUGAAAGAUUUGACAAAAGAGCCCUUGUCUCUAAAUAACCUUAUAAACAUUCUCUUAGGGUAAAAAAGCCCUUUAUUGUUAGAGGGACGACAAGACCCUAAAAUCUUUUGCCUCUUUUUUUUUUAAGCAAAAGCAAUUUUUUAAUAGAUUAGGUAGAUUACUGGGGCGGUAACUUAUAAAAACAAAAUAAACUUACCCGCCUUGUGCGCCUAUUAACUAGCCUUAAAAGAUAAAUAUAUAGAUACUUUAGGGAUAACAGCAUAAUUCUUCUCAAGAGCCCUAAUCGCCAGAAGAGAUUAUGACCUCGAUGUUGAAUUGAAGAAACUACCUUAAGCAGCUUUAAGAAAAGUAAGUCUGUUCGACUUUUAAACCUUCACGUGAUCUGAGUUCAAACCGA
rnacentral:rRNA from 1 species